CUACGGGCGGCUCCAGUGAGGAAUAUUGCACAAUGGGGGGAACCCUGAUGCAGCAACGCCGCGUGGAGGAUGACGCAUUUCGGUGUGUAAACUCCUUUUAUAUGUCAAGAAAAUGACGGUAGCAUAUGAAUAAGCACCGGCUAACUCCGUGCCAGCAGCCGCGGUAAUACGGAGGGUGCAAGCGUUACUCGGAAUCACUGGGAGGAAAGGACGCGUAGGCGGGUUGGAAAGUCAGGUGUGAAAUCCUACAGCUUAACUGUAGAACUGCACUUGAAACUUCUAAUCUAGAGGAUGGGAGGGGGAGAUGGAAUUAGUGGUGUAGGGGUAAAAUCCGUAGAUAUCACUAGGAAUACCUAAAGCGAAGGCGAUCUCCUGGAACAUUACUGACGCUAAGGCGUGAAAGCGUGGGGAGCAAACAGGAUUAGAUACCCCCGUAGUC
rnacentral:rRNA from 1 species